GUGUGUAGCUCAGUGGCAGAGCAUGUGUCUAGCAUGCAGGAGUCCCUGGGUUCAAUCCCCGGACCACACA
rnacentral:tRNA from 1 species